UACGAGGGGGGCAAGCGUUGUUCGGAAUUAUUGGGCGUAAAGGGCGCGUAGGCGGUGCGGUAAGUCACCUGUGAAAUCUCUGGGCUCAACUCAGAGUCUGCAGGCGAAACUGCCGUGCUGGAGUAUGGGAGAGGUGCGUGGAAUUCCCGGUGUAGAGGUGAAAUUCGUAGAUAUCGGGAGGAACACCAGUGGCGAAGGCGGCGAUCUGGGAAGAUACUGACGCUGAGGCGCGAAAGCGUGGGGAGCAAACAGG
rnacentral:rRNA from 1 species